rnacentral:rRNA from 1 species
AACGAACGCUGGCGGCAGGCUUAACACAUGCAAGUCGAGCGCCCCGCAAGGGGAGCGGCAGACGGGUGAGUAACGCGUGGGAAUCUACCCAUCUCUACGGAAUAACGCAUGGAAACGUGUGCUAAUACCGUAUACGUCCUUCGGGAGAAGGUUUAACGGGGGUGGGUGGGGCCGCGGUGGAUUUGCUAGUUGGUGGGGGAAAGGCCUACCAAGGCGAAGAUCCAUAGCUGGUCUGAGAGGAUGAUCAGCCAAACUGGGACUGAGACACGGCCCAGUCUCCUACGGGAGGCAGCAGUGGGGAAUAUUGGACAAUGGGCGCAAGCCUGAUCCAGCCAUGCCGCGUGAGUGAUGAAGGCCCUAGGGUUGUAAAGCUCUUUCACCGGUGAAGAUAAUGACGGUAACCGGAGAAGAAGCCCCGGCUAACUUCGUGCCAGCCGCCGCCGUAACAC